GACGAAGGAUGCAAGCGUUAUCCGGAUUCAUUGGGUUUAAAGGGUGCGUAGGCGGCCCGGUAGGUCAGUGGUGAAAGCCUGUUGCUUAACAACAGAACUGCCAUUGAUACUGCUGGGCUUGAGUACAGAUGCUGUGGGCGGAAUAUGACAUGUAGUGGUGAAAUACAUAGAGAUGUCAUAGAACACCGAUUGCGAAGGCAGCUCACAAAACUGUAACUGACGCUGAGGCGCGAAAGUGCGGGGAUCAAACAGG
rnacentral:rRNA from 1 species